rnacentral:rRNA from 1 species
UGGGGAAUAUUGGACAAUGGGCGCAAGCCUGAUCCAGCAAUGCCGCGUGAGUGAUGAAGGCCUUAGGGUUGUAAAGCUCUUUCGCACGCGACGAUGAUGACGGUAGCGUGAGAAGAAGCCCCGGCUAACUUCGUGCCAGCAGCCGCGGUAAUACGAAGGGGGCUAGCGUUGUUCGGAAUUACUGGGCGUAAAGGGCGCGUAGGCGGCCUGUUUAGUCAGAAGUGAAAGCCCCGGGCUCAACCUGGGAAUAGCUUUUGAUACUGGCAGGCUUGAGUUCCGGAGAGGAUGGUGGAAUUCCCAGUGUAGAGGUGAAAUUCGUAGAUAUUGGGAAGAACACCGGUGGCGAAGGCGGCCAUCUGGACGGACACUGACGCUGAGGCGCGAAAGCGUGGGAGCAACAGGAUUAGAUACCCUGGUAGUCCACGCCGUAAACGAUGAAUGCUAGACGUCGGGGUGCAUGCACUUCGGUGUCGCCGCUAACGCAUUAAGCAUUCCGCCUGGGGAGUACGGCCGCAAGGUUAAAACUUAAAUGAAUUGACGGGGUCAUAGCUGUUUCCU